GAAUAGGACUGGACGUUUUCUUAUUGUGUUUUCUGAAUCCCCUGUUCCCUCUCUGUACUGGAUGCGGGAUUUGAUGGGAUUUUGCAUUUUCCCCUGGCUCUCUGGCGGGGGAUCCUUUAUGUGACUUUUUUGUGCGAGGGGUCUGGAAUGUGCUGUGUGGCUACUUGCCCUUUGCCUUUCUGAACCCUGGACUAAAGGAUGUGCUGAGUUCUGACCCUUCGUAAACUGGGCUGUCAUGGUUCUGCGUGUGGUUUCACCUGCUUUUAGUCUUUCCUGCAUUCGAGCUAUGGUUUCUCUCAUGUUGAUUAAUUCUUCGAUUGAGAUUUGUAUCGAAGAGUGAUGGCUGUUAGCAGGGGCAGAUGAAUAUUCAAUAUUCAGGGCCCUUUCUUGGCGAAUGGGAAUCUGCUGUCGUUCCCUCUAUUGUUGCUCUAUAUUCAGGGUCCUUUCUUGACGGGCGGGAAUCUGUUGUUGUUUCCUCUGCUGUUGUUCUAUGAUCGGGGCCCUUUCUUGACGAGCGGGAAUCUGUUGUUGUUCCCUCUGCUGUUCAAUCUGCAUAUGUAGAAAGCCAAAUGGAUUUUGUAAUGUUACUGUUUCCAUUUGAGUUUGAUUUUGCAGGGGGACUGGUAUUAUCAUAGUUUGAUUUUCUCUUGGCCCAUUAGUUUGGGCUCUAGGCCUCUCAGGUGCCCCUUCUUGUUGGGCUGCCCCUUGUGUUUUUUCCCUCGCGUAUGAGGUUGUUCUUGUGUCGACCAUUUUGCUGCUUUGGUCUGGAGAAAACCGAGUUGGGACGGUCGACUUAUGUGGAGUCGACUUGAGGAAGUCGAGCGCUUUGAGGUUUUCGGAGAGCCGAGCCUCUCACAGAAGUCGAACUAGCUGAGAGUCGAGCCGGGGGUCAAUCCUCCCACAGUGACUGUUUUCCCUGAAUGUCGACCUUGGGUAAGUCGAGCUUGUGGAAGUCAAGUCAGGGGUUGAUCCUCUUCAGUCGCUCGAGUUGGAACCUCCCGAGGAAUUCAAACUAGGGAACUGAACCUGGGGUCGAUCCCCCAGAUAUGGUCGAAUUGGAUCGCAAAGUCGACCCUGGGAGUCGAACCUCCCGAGGAAAUCGAGCUAGCAGGCUGAAUCUGCGCUGUUUGGAGCGGAUUUGGCCGUGACUUUUUCGACAAAGUCGACCAGCUUUCUGUUUUGUGAGUACCUUGAAUUCACAGACGGCGCCAACUGAUAAGGGUGGAACCCGAUCAGUGCUAGCACGAUGCUUCGAACAAGCGUAAGGCCACGAACUCCGUCAGAAAUCGCACGGACACUCUAGUCACUCAGGCUCUCUCUGGCAGAGGUUCUUUCUGACUCCAAAUAUCCUAACCUCUAAUGAGUGGUGGUGGUCCCUAUUUAUAGGGUCCUUAUGGGGGUAAUCUGGUCAUUAGGACUCUAACCGCCUAACUGCCCAGAUCUGGCCUGGGUCGACUUUAUGAGGUUGACUCCCUUGGGGUCGACUUUUAGCUCUCGGCCUCCUCAGAGGUCGGCUUGGCUAAAGUCGUCCAGUGGGGUUCCCCAUUGCCUACACAGACGCUUCCACUCAUUUUGGGUUAUCUCAAGCUGGUGUUGUGGUCCGGUACGAGAUACUGUAUCACCAUCCCCAAAUAUCAACAUGUAUAAGAUCAAAAUAUUUUUCGCUUUGUGAUGUACUUUUUGGGUAUGAUAAUUUUUGUUGUUUGGCAAGUGGACAAAUGUCACAUAGAGAAAUGAGAUCUUUAUUGUAUUUAGAAUUAUUUGAGAAACUAAUGUUAUUACAUGAGUUUCUAGCUAACAAACUAAGUUUAUUGUAUGAAAUGUGACCCAUCCUAGCAUGCCAAAGUUUAAUGUCUUGAGCAAUGUAGCAAAUAGCUUCUUUGUCAAAGACAUAUACUCCAUUUUGAGCACUACCCUGUCCAAUCAUAUUCUUGCUGUGAGGAUCCUGAAAAAGGCAAUGUGUUUUAUUUAAAAAAAUCCAUACACCCAUAUCUUCUAUAAUACUAUGUAGAGAAAUCAAAUUUAGUUUAAAAUCAGGAAUGUAGUAUACAUUUUUUAGAGUUAUUGUUGGAGAAAGCAUAAUUUCUCCUAUUUGUUUAAUUUCAAAAAAAAUUCCAUUUGGAAUUACAAACUCUUCUAAAAUUAUUAGAAGAUCUUAGAUUAAUAAAGAGUGAUUUAUUACCACUCAUGUGUUGUGAAGCACCACUAUCACAAAUCCAUUUAUCAUUUGAAUAUGCAUUUGAAAAACAAGCUAAAUCAGUUUUAAUUUUAUUAAAAGAAAUACUUGAAUUUUUCAUAAACAGGUUUUGCAUAACUUUGAACUCCUCAUGUGUAAUUGUAUGAGUUGUGGCAGAACUAGCUUGGUCUGUUUUGUAUUUCUUAAAAGAAGAACUCUUAAAUCCAUCUUUAUCAGAAGGGUAUCCAUUCAAAUGAAAACAAUUAUCUUUGGUGUGCCCAAAGAACUAACAAUGGUCACACCUAAUUUUUAAAUUUAGUUUAGUCCCUUUUUGCUAAACUUGUAUUUUUCAGAGUUGAAGGGUUCACUUCUAAUAUUAGAGACCUUCCUAACUGCCAUAGAAUUGUCUAUUUUAAAACUUUCAGAAGUAUAUUUUUUUAUAGUCACCCCUCUUUGUUUUUCAUCUAUGAUGACAGUGGAGAAUGCAGAGUCCAUGCUAGGAAUUUCUUUUGCAGCCAAUAUUUGACUCCUUAUGUUUAAAAAUUCCUCAUUCAAUCCUAAAAGAAAUUUAACUACCUUAUCUUGUUCUAUUUCUUCUUCCCAAAUUUGUAUUGCUCCACAUGUACACACCCCACAUAUACACCUUUUUUUCUUGCUUUAUAUCAUUCAAAGCAUCCCAUGCAGAUUUCAGUUGGAUAUAGUAAUCACUAACUGUCAUUUCUCCUUGGAAUAAAUUGGCCAAUUCUUGGCCAAUUUAAAAUCUUAAGGGUGCCUAGCCUUGGCUGUAUCUAAUUUUUAAAAUUUCCCAGGCUUCAUAGGCACUCUCAGCUAACCUAAUUGAUGCUGCAAUAUUUUUUUCACAUGCAUUUAUGAUCCAUGAAAAAACCACUCCAUUUACUGUUUCCCAAGCCUCAAACUCCUCUGAGUUUUCAUCCUUUGACCGGGAAACCUUACCAUUAAUAAACUUUUGCUUCCUCCUGGUCACUAACCAAAGCAUCAUAUCUUUAGACCAAGUAGGAUAAUUUAUUUGACCCUUAAGUAGGUCACUAAUAAUUUUAUUUGAAGGAUUAUCACUAGAAUGGAGAAAGUAUACAGAGGACCUGGUUGUGAAUGCAGAUUCCAAAUCAAAAGCCUUCUUUGUUUGAUCUGGAGCAGUCUCAGCAUUUGAAAUUUCCAUAUCACUUGCCUGAAUCUCCAUUGUCCAGUGAAAUCAGAAUGCGUUUGCGGAAGAAAAACGUGGCUAACACCCCAGAUUGACCGAAGAUACCAUAUGAAACGAACAACAUCGAGCUUCCUCGACGAACAGCCGGAAAUGGUCACCACAAUUGCCGGAGACUUGCGUUUUGGGGAAAAAUCUGUUUCCUGGAAUGGAAACUACAAAAACAGAAUUAACAAAUGUGGAAAAUUAUGUUUUUGUAAAACUUU
rnacentral:lncRNA from 1 species